GACAGGAUGGCCGAGUGGUUAAGGCGGUAGUUUCGAAUCUGAACUAGUAGCUACUCCUCUAUGAGGGCGUGAGUUCAAAUCUCACUUCUGUCG